UUGAUAUUCUAGUUGGAAUUC
ensembl:piRNA 21ur-4962 ncRNA